GUUUCCAAGCAUUUGGUUCUAUCAAGCUUGGCACAAGAAGAAGAAAAUGCAAGAAACCUCCAUAUACCCACUUUUUCAGGAUUGUCUGAGACUUUGGUGUAGUCUUCCAGCCUGCCUCUAUGGUUGAGAGAAGCAAAAUUACUACUGGAAGUAUUGGAAUUUUGUAUUAUUUCAAAGGCAUGUGCUGGGAAAAUAAAGGAGUCCAAAGCAAUCGUGUAGUAUGGUUUUCCAAAGAGACAAUAAAUAAACUGAACCACUACAAAGAAACUUUCCCCUGCAAAAAGUUCAUGAAUUUUGAAGUGAGGUGUCCAAACCACCAUGAUAAUCUCAUUCUGGCUUCCUUUGCUGCAGAAGCUAUAGAACUUCUGUGAAUGAUAUCUGACUGGAAGAUGCACAGAGCUCAGUAGUCCCUGCUCCUAGAAAAAAACCUCAAGCCUUCAAUCUUUUAUUUUUAUUGAUGA